CAGACGCUCUUAUCCAGAGCGACUUACAGGAGCAAUUAGGGUUAAGUGCCUUGCUCAAGGGCACAUUUAGCACGUACACCCCUGCCAUCAACUUGGAUCGGGAGUACUGGGAGAACAGAGCCGGUUCCCUGUGCAGCAGAAGUUGUGCCCAGCUGCAUUGAUGCACCUCCUCCACCAGCAUCAAAAAAAGGAAGGCAGCUGAUGUUGAGGCCUGGAAGGGGUUGAGGGAGCUACUCCACAUGCCUGCUGUGGAGCUGGAAUGUCCUCCACCCAACGCCAUCUGCAGUGUGUGUAGAGUUUUGGAGGAGGCUGAGCUAUGGUGCUGUGGGGAUUGUGGCUCAGAUAAAUAUUUCUGUGCCACCUGUGCUGUGAGAACACACAGCACUCCCAACAUUGGCCACCAGUUGGAGUUAUGGAAGGCCACUGCAUGCAGUGACGUGUACCUGGAUGGUGACACUGCCUGACUGAAUACUGUGGCCUUAAGUGGUACUGGAUGCAAGGGCCUUACCUGGGAGUACAGCAACUCUCGCACAGCCAUUCUGGCAACAUGUAUUGUAAGUAACCACUCAUUCAUACAAACUGCUAGGGAUGCAAUCACUCACUUCUAUUCACUUUGUCUACUUGUCCCAUUCAAUCUUGUCUGGGAUAUAUAUUUUAGUUGACACCUGUGUGAUGUCUGAUAUACAUGAAUAAAAAUGUAUUCACCCUGGACAUAAGUAUUGCAUUCAUUUUAAACCUUUUCAAUCAUAAGCGAAG